UUGAGCUCUUUUUUUGGUACUGAGACUCAUGACAUGCCAAAAGUUGAUGAAGAUGGUGUUGUUCACAACAUGACUAGGCAUGUAUACCAUUCUCUUAAGCCUCCACGUACUGCACGUCCUCCUGGGCAACCAAGAAAAAAUGAAUUCAAUCCCAAUUCAUAAACAAAAAGAGAGUAUAAUGUUCUCGAUGUCAUGAAGCUAGUCACAAUCGAAAAAUAUGCAAGAAUUCUAUAUCCUAAUUAGUGUGUUAUUUUAUUUUAUUUUUACUUAAUUGUUACUUCGUAAUAAACUUCAUUGAUACUUUUCAAUUUUUUCACUUAAUUGUUAUUUGAUAAUAAAGUCAUUGACAUUUUGCAAUUUGUUUAAAUUUUGUUUUGUAAUAAACUUGAAUACAACACACAAAAUGCUUUAUUUUUAUCAAAUUUAUUAUUUUGUAAUGGAUUUGUUAUGGUCAUUUAUGCAAUUAUUUUAUUGGGUGUUAUUAGGAAUGACAACGGGGCGGGUUUGGGACGGGUCAUUCCCAUCCCAUUCCCGCACCCGAUUAUACAGUUAUUUCCCAUCCCCGACUCAAACCUGUUUCGGGGCAGGUUGAUUGGUUCCCAUCCCCAUUAACAAAAAAAUUAAUAAUCCCAUCCCCGCCCCGUCCCGUCCCGAAUGCCAUUGAGCCCUAACCCUAACUGGUGAUGAACAAACCUCAUACCCAAAUCUGAUUAUGAUAAUAUACCAAAAAAUGAAAAAAUAAUAUCAAAGUUGAAAUUAACACCGCAACAAUCAUUAAUUUUAAGCCCAUAGUUAGCUUAAAUGAUUCAAAAUUAGUGCAAAACACCAAAAAAAAAAAAAAUUUGAACCAUUUAUGAAAACUGAACCAAACGAGAACAGCCGUGGAUGUGAAUCCCUCUUCAAGUCAAUCUUUGAACCAAGACUUCAUCAAAUCCACUACGGUUUUCGCGUUCCUUUUGUGUCGUGCUCUCGGACAAAGAUUUCAAGGUGAUCCUCAAUCAUCUAUGACUAGUUUGAUGUUGCGAAAGAGGAGUUUUGGGCUCUGAGGCUAAACCAAGAACAAGAUGGAAUUGAUUUUAGAGUAUUUUAGUUGGUGUGAGGGAGGAAGAAAAAGUCGUAUUGAUCCUGGAAAUAGGGAUUCAAGCGAGGAAGAAGAAGAAGAAGUGGCUGUCGGAAUUAGGGCAAAUGGAAAGAACGAAGGACCAUUGUAUCAGAGGAAGAAGAAGAAGAAGGAGGAGCAGCCGUCAGAAUUAGGGCAAGAAU
rnacentral:lncRNA from 1 species